UGUCAUCAGGCUGGUGACAUGCAGUAGCAUGAUCUUGGCUCACUGCAACUUCCGCCUCCCAGGUUCAAGCGAUUCUCCUGCCUCAGCCUCCCGAGUAGCUGGGACUACAGGUGCGUGUGACCACACCCAGAUAAUUUUUUUUUUGUACUUUUGGUAGAGACAGGGUUUCACCAUGUUGGACAGGAUGGUCUUGAUCUCUUGACAUCAUAAUCCGCCCUCCUCAGCCUACCAAAGUGCUGGGAUUACAGGUAUGAGCCACCACUUCUGGCCAAAGUCACUUUUUAAAAGGAAGAAGGCAUGAACUUACAUGAGUUCUCAAAAACUGAAAAAAAUAGAGAAAUAUAAGAUCUCUAAAAAAUCCAGGCAGGCAGUGAGAGUGAAAAUAAAAAUCUAAUUCCAAACCAUCUUGGGAAUACUCUUAGGUUGAAUAAUUGUGCAAAAUAGAACAAAUAGCAUAAAUGUUUCGAAAUAGCCUUGAGCCAUGGAUAUCCAGCUAUGAUUGAUUUUGUCAUUAGCAACUUGAGCAGCUUCAACUUUCCAUACAUUUGUCCUCCUUACCAUUUAUCAUCUACAGGCUGAUGAAGGGGAGGAGCUGAUUUCUGUGCACAAAUUAAACCAAAAGGAAGAAAAAAUCUCUAUUAAACAUUUAAAACACACACACAAUCAAAACACUCAAGUUCUGCACUUCACGAUACCUUAAUUUCCAUCAGCCAGUGCAGCUGUGUGCUUCCCACAGAGCAAAAUCUCGUGAAGGGUAUAUUAAUUAAGUCAUUAUGCCCUGAGAGAUAGGUAUAAUUACAAAUCUUCUCACCAUACUAUUUUGAGUUUCCAAAAUUCAAUAAGUUAGAGGUUGAAUGUUGUUUUGUGUUUUUUUUUUUUUUUUUUUCUUUUCUUUUCAAGAUGCCACUGGGGGGAAAAAGAAGCCAACGAUAACAACUACAACAAAAACCCACAGAGGGGAAGAACAACAAUCACAUUCCCUAUUACGAGAGGGCUGUCAGGAUGCAAUGUACGCUUUUAGAAGAGAGAAAAAAGCUAUAGGAAGAUGGUUCACCAUCCCCUCUGAUCUCCUUAUGAGAAAUGCAAUAAAAGUGUCCCUUAUAAUGACCUUCCAUUCAGUUCACUUUGUCAAAGGAAAUAGAGCGGAGUAGGUAAGUGGGAAUACUUUGGACAAGUUUCUUAACCUCCUUUUGUCUCCGUUUUCACAGCUAUAAAAUGAGGGUAAAGAACCUACGUCACCAGGUUGAGAAACUUAAGUGGUUUUAUCCAUGUAAAACUGUCACUUUAUUGUUUACAAGCAGUAAGCACUCAAUCAAUGCUACCUAUCAUCAUUUUAUCGCUACUUUUUUUUGUGCUUUCCAACUUCUACAGUUUUACUUACUCUACAACAUGAUUGCCCGAAUCAGCCUUUCUAUCCUUCAAGGAGCAAGUAGAUGUCCUUCGUCUCUGAAGACAUUCUUGAUCUCUCCAGCCUAAUUAGCUAUAGCUUAUCUCAGAGUUAGAAAACCCAGUAAAUAUCUUGUCAGCUGUUUUUUCUUUUUUUCUUUUUUUCUUUUUUUUUUUUUGAGACAGGGUCUCACUCUGUUGUCCAGGCUGGACUGCAGUGGCGUGAUCUCGGCUCAUUGCAGCCUCUGCCUUGCAGGUUCAAACAAUCCUCCCAUCUCAGCCUCUGAGUAGCUGGGAUUACAGGGGCGCGUCACCAUACCCAGCUAAUUUUGGCAUUUUUAGUAGAGACAGGAUUUCACCAUGUUGGCCAUGGUGGAUAUCAGCUGGAUAUCACAGCACCUGAACACAUGAUCCUGUGUUUGAAAGGUAGCCUUUUUCUAAGGUCCCAUUUUUAUUGAUCCUGAUAGCUUUUGUGUCAUAUCCAUUAAUUCCAUCAAAUCAAAGAGGAAGAUUAGGGUCAUAAAAAAGAAAGCAGUACCCAGUCCAUUUUAUUUUAUUUUAUUCUCACCAUACUAUUUUGAGUUUCCAAAUUUCAAUAAGUUAGAGGUUGAAUGUUGUUUUGUGUUUGUUUUUUUUUUCUUUUCUUUUCAAGAUGCCACUGGGGGGAAAAAUAAAAUAAAAUAAAAUAAAAUAAAAUAAAAUAAAAUACAACAUGGUUACCAUGUUAGAGGCAUGCUAAAAGACACUUCGCAGUUCUUUACAAUGACAGUCACAUUCAGCAACUCACAGACUAUUUGUUCAUAUGUCAUUUUGGUAAGCACUUAAAUCCCCCUCACUUCCUGA
rnacentral:lncRNA from 10 species